rnacentral:rRNA from 1 species
GUGCCAGCAGCCGCGGUAAGACGUAGGGGGCAAGCGUUACCCGGAAUUACUGGGCGUAAAGGGGGCGUAGGCGGUAAAAGAAGUCAUCUGUGAAAACCUAUUGCUCAACGAUAGGCUAGCGGAUGAAACUGAAUUACUUGAGGGCACCAGAGGUAGACGGAAUUACCCGAGUAGGGGUGAAAUCCGCAGAUACGGGUAGGAACGCCGGUGGAGAAGUCGGUCUACUGGGGUGCACCAGACGCUGAGGCCCGAAAGCUAGGGGAGCAAACCGGAUUAGAUACCCGGGUAGUCCUAGCCGUAAACGAUGCUCACUAGGUGUAGGGAGUGAUAAACUCUCUGUGCUGAAGCGAACGCGCUAAGUGAGCCGCCUGGGGAGUACGUCCGCAAGGAUGAA